rnacentral:tRNA from 1 species
UCGCGGAGUAGAGCAGUCUGGAAGCUUGUCGGGUUCAUACCCCGAAGGUCACUGGUUCAAAUCCAGUCUCCGCAAU